UGCGCGCCUAACUGUAAGUCGCUUCGAAUAAAAGCAUCUGCUAAAUGCCAUAUA
rfam:Salmo salar isolate Sally breed double haploid chromosome ssa05, whole genome shotgun sequence.